GGGCGUUUGGCAGAAUGGUUAUGCUCCUGAUUCUUAAUCAGGCUCAAACAGGUUCAAUUCCUGUAGCGCCCACCA
rnacentral:tRNA from 1 species